GGUUAAGCGACUAAGCGUACACGGUGGAUGCCCUGGCAGUCAGAGGCGAUGAAGGACGUGCUAAUCUGCGAUAAGCGCCGGUAAGGUGAUAUGAACCGUUAUAACCGGCGAUUUCCGAAUGGGGAAACCCAGUGUGAUUCGUCACACUAUCAUUAACUGAAUCCAUAGGUUAAUGAGGCGAACCGGGGGAACUGAAACAUCUAAGUACCCCGAGGAAAAGAAAUCAACCGAGAUUCCCCCAGUAGCGGCGAGCGAACGGGGAGGAGCCCAGAGCCUGAAUCAGCAUGUGUGUUAGUGGAAGCGUCUGGAAAGGCGCGCGAUACAGGGUGACAGCCCCGUACACAAAAGCGCAUGUGCUGUGAGCUCGAUGAGUAGGGCGGGACACGUGGUAUCCUGUCUGAAUAUGGGGGGACCAUCCUCCAAGGCUAAAUACUCCUGACUGACCGAUAGUGAACCAGUACCGUGAGGGAAAGGCGAAAAGAACCCCGGCGAGGGGAGUGAAAAAGAACCUGAAACCGUGUACGUACAAGCAGUGGGAGCACCCUUCGGGGUGUGACUGCGUACCUUUUGUAUAAUGGGUCAGCGACUUAUAUUCUGUAGCAAGGUUAACCGUAUAGGGGAGCCGGAGGGAAACCGAGUCUUAACCGGGCGUUAAGUUGCAGGGUAUAGACCCGAAACCCGGUGAUCUAGC
rnacentral:rRNA from 1 species